rnacentral:rRNA from 1 species
GAUGAACGCUGGCGGCGUGCCUAAUUCAUGCAAGUCGAGCGAACAGACGAGGAGCUUGCUCCUCUGACGUUAGCGGCGGACGGGUGAGUAACACGUGGAUAACCUACCUAUAAGACUGGGAUAACUUCGGGAAACCGGAGCUAAUACCGGAUAACAUGUUGAACCGCAUGGUUCAACAGUGAAAGACGGUCUUGCUGUCACUUAUAGAUGGAUCCGCGCCGCAUUAGCUAGUUGGUAAGGUAACGGCUUACCAAGGCAACGAUGCGUAGCCGACCUGAGAGGGUGAUCGGCCACACUGGAACUGAGACACGGUCCAGACUCCUACGGGAGGCAGCAGUAGGGAAUCUUCCGCAGUGGGCGAAAGCCUGACGGAGCAACGCCGCGUGAGUGAAGAAGGUCUUCGGAUCGUAAAACUCUGUUAUUAGGGAAGAACAAAUGUGUAAGUAACUAUGCACGUCUUGACGGUACCUAAUCAGAAAGCCACGGCUAACUACGU